GCCGGAGUGGCGGAAUAGGCAGACGCACGGGACUCAAAAUCCCGCGGUGGCAACAUCGUGCCGGUUCAAGUCCGGCCUUCGGCACCA
rnacentral:tRNA from 1 species